rnacentral:rRNA from 1 species
AGUGAACGCUGGCGGUAGGCCUAACACAUGCAAGUCGAACGGCAGCACAGUAAGAGCUUGCUCUUACGGGUGGCGAGUGGCGGACGGGUGAGGAAUACAUCGGAAUCUACUUUUUCGUGGGGGAUAACGUAGGGAAACUUACGCUAAUACCGCAUACGACCUACGGGUGAAAGCAGGGGAUCUUCGGACCUUGCGCGAUUGAAUGAGCCGAUGUCGGAUUAGCUAGUUGGCGGGGUAAAGGCCCACCAAGGCGACGAUCCGUAGCUGGUCUGAGAGGAUGAUCAGCCACAUUGGAACUGAGACACGGUCCAGACUCCUACGGGAGGCAGCAGUGGGGAAUAUUGGACAAUGGGCGCAAGCCUGAUCCAGCCAUACCGCGUGGGUGAAGAAGGCCUUCGGGUUGUAAAGCCCUUUUGUUGGGAAAGGAAAGCAGCAGGUUAAUACCCCGCUGUUCUGACGGUACCCAAAGAAUAAGCACCGGCUAACUUCGUG